CCUGGCUCAGAUUGAACGCUGGCGGCAGGCCUAACACAUGCAAGUCGAGCGGUAGCACAGAGAGCUUGCUCUCGGGUGACGAGCGGCGGACGGGUGAGUAAUGUCUGGGAAACUGCCUGAUGGAGGGGGAUAACUACUGGAAACGGUAGCUAAUACCGCAUAACGUCGCAAGACCAAAGUGGGGGACCUUCGGGCCUCAUGCCAUCAGAUGUGCCCAGAUGGGAUUAGCUAGUAGGUGGGGUAACGGCUCACCUAGGCGACGAUCCCUAGCUGGUCUGAGAGGAUGACCAGCCACACUGGAACUGAGACACGGUCCAGACUCCUACGGGAGGCAGCAGUGGGGAAUAUUGCACAAUGGGCGCAAGCCUGAUGCAGCCAUGCCGCGUGUAUGAAGAAGGCCUUCGGGUUGUAAAGUACUUUCAGCGGGGAGGAAGGCGAUAAGGUUAAUAACCUUGUCGAUUGACGUUACCCGCAGAAGAAGCACCGGCUAACUCCGUGCCAGCAGCCGCGGUAAUACGGAGGGUGCAAGCGUUAAUCGGAAUUACUGGGCGUAAAGCGCACGCAGGCGGUCUGUCAAGUCGGAUGUGAAAUCCCCGGGCUCAACCUGGGAACUGCAUUCGAAACUGGCAGGCUAGAGUCUUGUAGAGGGGGGUAGAAUUCCAGGUGUAGCGGUGAAAUGCGUAGAGAUCUGGAGGAAUACCGGUGGCGAAGGCGGCCCCCUGGACAAAGACUGACGCUCAGGUGCGAAAGCGUGGGGAGCAAACAGGAUUAGAUACCCUGGUAGUCCACGCCGUAAACGAUGUCGAUUUGGAGGUUGUGCCCUUGAGGCGUGGCUUCCGGAGCUAACGCGUUAAAUCGACCGCCUGGGGAGUACGGCCGCAAGGUUAAAACUCAAAUGAAUUGACGGGGGCCCGCACAAGCGGUGGAGCAUGUGGUUUAAUUCGAUGCAACGCGAAGAACCUUACCUGGUCUUGACAUCCACAGAACUUAGCAGAGAUGCUUUGGUGCCUUCGGGAACUGUGAGACAGGUGCUGCAUGGCUGUCGUCAGCUCGUGUUGUGAAAUGUUGGGUUAAGUCCCGCAACGAGCGCAACCCUUAUCCUUUGUUGCCAGCGGUUCGGCCGGGAACUCAAAGGAGACUGCCAGUGAUAAACUGGAGGAAGGUGGGGAUGACGUCAAGUCAUCAUGGCCCUUACGACCAGGGCUACACACGUGCUACAAUGGCAUAUACAAAGAGAAGCGACCUCGCGAGAGCAAGCGGACCUCAUAAAGUAUGUCGUAGUCCGGAUUGGAGUCUGCAACUCGACUCCAUGAAGUCGGAAUCGCUAGUAAUCGUAGAUCAGAAUGCUACGGUGAAUACGUUCCCGGGCCUUGUACACACCGCCCGUCACACCAUGGAGUGGGUUGCAAAAGAAGUAGGUAGCUUAACCUUCGGGAGGGCGCUUACCACUUUGUGAUUCAUGACUGGGGUGAAGUCGUAACAAGGU
rnacentral:rRNA from 1 species